rnacentral:rRNA from 1 species
CGCUGACGAGUGGCGGACGGGUGCGUAACACGUAUGCAACCUACCUUUUACAGAGGGAUAGCCAGAGAAAUUUGGAUUAAUACCUCAUAAUAUUUUUAACUCGCAUGAGUUUUAAAUUAAAACUUCGGUGGUAAAAGAUGGGCAUGCGUUCUAUUAGUUUGUUGGUGAGGUAACGGCUUACCAAGACUACGAUAGAUAGGGGUUCUGAGAGGAUAGUCCCCCACACUGGUACUGAGACACGGACCAG